UAACCGUAAUGUCCAUAGUGUAACCGAGGUACAUUUCUGUUGUCUGCAUUAUUUAAAGGUUUCUUUUCGUUUGUUUUAGUGUGUACAAGGAUGCAUAUCAACUCUUUCAUGAGCUACUGUCAAUUGUGAACCUACAGCAUUUCAUUAUCUAUGAUUAUUGAAGCUUUUUCCUUGUAACUUUGUUUUUUUAUAAAACUCAAUUCGUGUCAGCCAUUUUUUUCCAUCUUUUUGAAGUUUCCUGCAUGCCCUUUCAGGUGACUAAAGGGGGAAGGCUCACCCUGACCCUUUGGUUCACUAGAAACCACAGUGACUGAAGCGGAAAGGCUCGCCCUGACUCUUUGGUUCACUAGAGACCACACUAAUAAUGAGAUGAAGAAAACCCGAUAGAGAUGUUUGGGAAGCAACUGCGGCCCGUGAGGGGAGAUGAUAUCUUUGAGAAAAUGUUUUCUAGCAGCCUGCAUGCUCUUCAGAUCCUUUGCUGGAAACGAGUAUAAUCAUUGGCUUACUGAAUAUGAGAAGGAUGUAAAGAGAAACCACAUGCUUGUUGUGCAUACGUCUAUAUUGAAUAAGAGCAAAGACUUUUUUGCAGUUCUAUGGUUCACUUUGGGGCUGAUUGGUUCGCUGCAUCUCGGCCAACCAAGCCCGCCGGAUGCAGGUAAGUCGUGAUUGGUUGCCUGGAGGGGGUACGUGGCCUGGCUCCGCUGGUGCGAGAGAACGGAAA